GGUUAAGGUUAGGUAUUCAUUCUGAGAGGUUAAGCGUAGGUAUUCAUUCUGAGAGGUUAAGGUUAGGUAUUCAUUCUGAGAGGUUAAGGUUAGGUAUUCAUUCUGAGAGGUUAAGGUUAGGUAUUCAUUCUGAGAGGUUAAGGUUAGGUAUUCAUUCUGAGAGGUUAAGGUUAGGUAUUCAUUCUGAGUGGUUAAGGUUAGGUAUUCAUUCUGAGAGGUUAAGCGUAGGUAUUCAUUCUGAGUGGUUAAGGUUAGGUAUUCAUUCUGAGAGGUUAAGCGUAGGUAUUCAUUCUGAGUGGUUAAGGUUAGGUAUUCAUUCUGAGAGGUUAAGCGUAGGUAUUCAUUCUGAGUGGUUAAGGUUAGGUAUUCAUUCUGAGAGGUUAAGCGUAGGUAUUCAUUCUGAGUGGUUAAGGUUAGGUAUUCAUUCUGAGAGGUUAAGCGUAGGUAUUCAUUCUGAGUGGUUAAGGUUAGGUAUUCAUUCUGAGAGGUUAAGCGUAGGUAUUCAUUCUGAGAGGUUAAGGUUAGGUAUUCAUUCUGAGAGGUUAAGCGUAGUUAUUCAUUCUGAGAGGUUAAGGUUAGGUAUUCAUUCUGAGAGGUUAAGGUUAGGUAUUCAUUCUGAGAGGUUAAGGUUAGGGCUAUGGUUUAGGUAGGCUUAAAACAAAAACAUUUAAAACAAUGUGAGUUCGACCCCAGUCAUGCGCCAUCCAUUAGUUAGAUGUUUUGGUAACGAAGGCUUAAAUCAACGGGACCUUUUCAGAAUAAAAAUACUUCUCACAUACCAGAACUCGUAAAUUCAUUUAGACUUUAUUAGAAAAGCAAAAGAAGUGGAGCAAUACCAUGGAACAACUGGCUCUCCAUUCAUUAGUACUUGGCUUCUAUACGUUUUCGUCUCUCCGCUUUAUGUAUAUCGUUGUCUUUCUUAGUUUCCAUUCUGUCACGCGGGACUAGGUGGGUGCAGGAAUCAGACGCAGAGAGAGAGAGUAACUGAGUGAUCGGUAGCGGCUAGUAGGACGGCAACGGAACAGGCAGGGGAGCCAACUUCGGCGGAAGUCGUGAUACAUUCUCUUUUUGGCUUAGACAUUGGGGCAAAGAUAAUAUUGGUGGCGUGACGUACACACCCCUACCGGUGCCUUCAAGUGAUUAGCUAAUGUUCCGGUCCAAAGGUCUUCACAAAUUCAGGCCGAUGUUGUCUAUGUGUGAUUAACCCACGUGCGUGUCCACUAACCUUCACGAGAUCAGACAUGGCCCAGACCAGUCGUGCUGUUCUACCUUCGCCUCAUCCACACAGAUUCUGCUUACCUUCAGUUGUUUUUUUUACAUGUGUAAUGGUUAACUCGAUGUUGGUCCAACUUUAUACAGUCACAUGGGCUUCAGCCUUCAUUCUGCUAACACAUGUCUAAUAUUUAAACGUAUAUAUCGAUUCCUCCUUCUACUUCAAAGAAAAACAGUGUAGGUGCUGAGAAUCACCGGAUGACUGCCAAUUCUCUUACAACAUCUGAAAUGAACGUCUCUGAAACGAACGACCGACCUGGGCCUCCCGAGUGUAUUGAAGGAUGAAAUGCCACUAUUAAGGCAUGUGUAUUGUAGGAAGCCCCUGAACAUAUCCACCCUGCUAAGCACUAACUUUCAGUGACCUGUGUGUGUGUGGGAGUAGGGAAGGUAUGUUUGUCACGGUGGUUGUGAGUAGGAGUAAUGGAGCAGGUAUUUCUUGUUUGUAAAUAUGAACAUGCAUGAAUGUAUGUCUGAACGUUGUCUUUUGUGAGUGUGUGUUCUUCUCUGCCUUCCUAUCUUUGUUUGCUGCUAAUAUUUGCUCUCCCUCCUCUCCUGUGAACUGUGUGAACUGUCUCUCUCUCUCUCUCUCUCUCUCUCCCUCCUCUCCUGUGAACUGUCUCUCUCUCUCUCGCUCUCUCUCUCUAUCUCUUUCAAUCUCUUUCUCUCUCUCUUUCUCUCUUUCUCUCUUUCUCUCUUUCUCUCUCUUUCUCUCUCUGUCUCUCUCUUUCUCCCUCUCAUCUUUCUGUUUCUCACUCUCUCUCUCUCUGUCUGUCUCUCACUAUCUUUCUCUCUCUGUCUGUGUCUCCUCUCUCUUUCUCUCUCUCUCUCUUUCUCUCUCUCUCUCUCUCUCUCUCUCUCUCUCUCUCUCUCUCUCUCUCUCUCUCUCUCUCUCUC